UGGUGAGGUAAUGGCUCACCAAGGCGACGAUCCCUAGCUGGUCUGAGAGGAUGAUCAGCCACACUGGAACUGAGACACGGUCCAGACUCCUACGGGAGGCAGCAGUGGGGAAUAUUGCACAAUGGGCGCAAGCCUGAUGCAGCCAUGCCGCGUGUAUGAAGAAGGCCUUCGGGUUGUAAAGUACUUUCAGCAGUGAGGAAGGUAUCAGAGUUAAUAGCUGCGGUAUUUGACGUUAACUGCAGAAGAAGCACCGGCUAACUCCGUGCCAGCAGCCGCGGUAAUACGGAGGGUGCGAGCGUUAAUCGGAAUUACUGGGCGUAAAGCGCAUGCAGGUGGUUUGUUAAGUCAGAUGUGAAAGCCCGGGGCUCAACCUCGGAAUAGCAUUUGAAACUGGCAGACUAGAGUACUGUAGAGGGGGGUAGAAUUUCAGGUGUAGCGGUGAAAUGCGUAAAGAUCUGAAGG
rnacentral:rRNA from 1 species